GGGUAGACAGCGCGUCGGAUGACUCGCUUCUCUUGUGCAUGUUGUGUUUGCAUAUUGUCCCGGAUUGGGACCGAUGACUUUUGUCAUCAAUUCUUCCUGAAUCUUGACCUAAUUUGUCAAAAUUUGUUGUGGCACUGCGAAUUUCGCAGUGCUUUUUUCU
rnacentral:other from 1 species